rnacentral:rRNA from 1 species
AUUGAACGCUGGCGGCAAGCCUAACACAUGCAAGUCGAACGAGUGGCGGACGGGUGAGUAAUGUCUGGGACACUGCCUGAUGGAGGGGGAUAACUACUGGAAACGGUAGCAAAUACCGCAUACCAUCGGAUGUGCCCAGAUGGGUUUAGCUAGUAGGUGGGGUAAAGGCGCACCUAGGCGCCGAUCCCUAGCUGGUCUGGGAGGAGUACCAGCCACACUGGAACUGAGGACCGGUCCAGACUCCUACGGGAGGCAGCAGUGGGGAAUAUUGCACAAUGGGCGCAAGCCUGAUGCAGCCAUGCCGCGUGUAUGAAGAAGGCCUUCUGGUUGUACAGUACUUUCAGCGGGGAGGCGUUACCCGCAGAAGAAGCACCGGCUAACUCCGUGCCAGCAGCCGCGGUAAUAC